GACGAACGCUGGCGGCGUGCCUAAUACAUGCAAGUUGAGCGCUGAAGGUUGGUACUUGUACCAACUGGAUGAGCAGCGAACGGGUGAGUAACGCGUGGGGAAUCUGCCUUUGGGCGGGGGACAACAUUUGGAAACGAAUGCUAAUACCGCAUAAAAACUUUAAACACAAGUUUUAAGUUUGAAAGAUGCAAUUGCAUCACUCAAAGAUGAUCCCGCGUUGUAUUAGCUAGUUGGUGAGGUAAAGGCUCACCAAGGCGAUGAUACAUAGCCGACCUGAGAGGGUGAUCGGCCACAUUGGGACUGAGACACGGCCCAAACUCCUACGGGAGGCAGCAGUAGGGAAUCUUCGGCAAUGGACGAAAGUCUGACCGAGCAACGCCGCGUGAGUGAAGAAGGUUUUCGGAUCGUAAAACUCUGUUGGUAGAGAAGAACGUUGGUGAGAGUGGAAAGCUCAUCAAGUGACGGUAACUACCCAGAAAGGUACGGCUAACUACGUG
rnacentral:rRNA from 1 species